UACGAAGGGGGCUAGCGUUGUUCGGCAUCACUGGGCGUAAAGCGCACGUAGGCGGAUUUGUAAGUCAGGGGUGAAAUCCCGGGGCUCAACCUCGGAACUGCCUCUGAUACUGCAAGUCUCGAGUUCGGGAGAGGUGAGUGGAAUUCCUAGUGUAGAGGUGAAAUUCGUAGAUAUUAGGAAGAACACCAGUGGCGAAGGCGGCUCACUGGCCCGAUACUGACGCUGAGGUGCGAAAGCGUGGGGAGCAAAUAGG
rnacentral:rRNA from 1 species